CGUCGGUCACACACGGUGCCUCCCUUCCUCCGCCCCCCCCCUCCCCCCGGUUUGACACCCCCUCCCGCCCCGCUCCGCCCUCCUCCCCGCCCCGCCGGUUGUCCCUCCGUAAACGGAAGCCGAGGAGGGACGAAGGAGCCGGGGAGGAGGUUGGAGCAGCGCGAUGGGGGACUCCAAAGUGAAGGUGGCGGUGCGCGUCCGCCCCACGAACCGGCGAGCGGCCGAGAGUCAUGAAUGCCUCACAACUGGUGACUGCAGAGCUAGAAAAUGGAAUGACAACAGCUCAGCAGCCGCUUUAGAGACAGCCAGCGUGGCUUCGCCGAGGGCAAAUCGUGCCCGACUAAUCCAGCGGCCUUCCAUGAUGGAGUGACGGCAUUAGAGGACGAGGGAAGAGCUACGGAUGUCACCUGCCUGGAGGACGUCAGUGAGGCACGGACAGGUUCUGGAUAAAUGGCUUUUAAUGGAAAAACUGAGAACAAAACACGCACUACCAAAGCUA